CAGAUUUUAUAAAAGCGACCUUUGCAACGUGCAUCAGGCAGGCAGCGGCAGCAAGAUGGUAUCACAGACCCAAAUUGUUGUAUCCCUGUUGUUCUGGGUCUCUGGUACCUAUGGGGACAUUGUGAUGACCCAGUCCCCAGACUCCCUGGCUCUGUCUCUGGGUGAGAGGGUCACCAUCAACUGCAAGUCCAGCCAGAGUCUUUUAUCAAGCUCCAGAAACUACUUAGCCUGGCACCAGCAGAAACCAGGACAAGCUCCUAAGCAAAUCAUCCUCUGGGCAUCCACCCGGGUGUCUGGGGUCCCUGACCGAUACAGUGGCAGUGGGUCUGGGACAGAUUUCACUCUCACCAUCAGCAGCCUGCAGGCUGAAGAUGUGGCAAUUUAUUACUGCCAGCAGUUCCAUAGCGCUCCUCCCACAGUGCUUCAGCCUUGAACACAAACCUCCUCCCCAGGCCUCAGGCCAGUGGGUCUUUGCUGCAGCAGCUGCUUCCUCUGCACACAGCCCCAAACAUGCAUGCUUCCUUUGUCUGUCAAAGAGGUUACAUCUCUUGAUGUAUUCCUGAGGGGGUUUGCAGCGCACAGGAUAAAAUUAAAAGAUUUGGCUUUUUCCGGAUCUCUUUUUGUGAAAGAUUAUUAAAGAAAAA